GGGGGGAGGAGAGGGAGGCAGCGAGGGGAGAGGAGAGGGAGGCAGCGAGCGGAGAGGAGAGGGAGGUAGCGAGGGGAGAGGAGAGGGCGGCAGCGAGGGGAGAGGAGAGAAGAGGGAGGCAGCGAGGGGAGAGGAGAGGAGAGGGAGGUAGCGAGGGGAGAGGAGAGGAGAGGGAGGCAGCGAGGGGAGAGAAGAGGGAGGCAGUGAGGGGAGAGGAGAGGGAGGCAGUGAGGGGAGAGGAGAGGGAGGCAGCGAGGGGAGAGGAGAGGGAGGCAGCGAGGGGAGAGGAGAGGAGAGGGAGGCAGCGAGGGGAGGGGAAAGGAGAGGGAGG
ensembl:lncRNA